rnacentral:misc_RNA from 1 species
UUAACUAUUAUAUAGUACUCAGACGACACUAAUAUUCAGAGUUUGGUUCUCUGGCGGGCACACACGAGCAGAGCCCGCAGUGGAGGCCACGGCCCGCCAAAGCAACAAUAGUAUGUAAACACGGGUGGGUGUAAGCUCCUAACCGCUGUUUCCAACGUUCGGUAGCCUCACUUGUAAUGAUCCUUCCGCAGGUUCACCUACGGAAA